UACAGAGGGUGCGAGCGUUGUUCGGAAUUACUGGGCGUAAAGCGCACGUAGGCGGCUUUGUAAGUUAGAGGUGAAAGCCCGGGGCUCAACUCCGGAAUUGCCUUUAAGACUGCAUCGCUAGAAUUGUGGAGAGGUAAGUGGAAUUCCGAGUGUAGAGGUGAAAUUCGUAGAUAUUCGGAAGAACACCAGUGGCGAAGGCGACUUACUGGACACAUAUUGACGCUGAGGUGCGAAAGCGUGGGGAGCAAACAGG
rnacentral:rRNA from 1 species